UUGUUUUGCUCUGAUUUAAAUAGAAACAGAUUUUUUCAUAAACCUGUCGUCCUGGUCCGGAGGGUCCAGUUUGGCUUUGGGCUUCUGCAGAAACGAAACUAUCCUGUUUACUGAAGAAAACCACUCAAUUCAAAUGUAGUAAAAAUCUGAGGUAAACCGUAUUUAUUAGCACUUCAGACGGUUUUAAUGCCGGUGAUCGCGUCCCUGCAGGCUGCAGAUCAUGAGUCACGCCUGUAAUCUGUUUGUGUUGCUGCUGCUUCCUAGCAACACAACAAUUAGCGAAUCCCUCGGAUUUCCCAGCCUGCAGCUGAGAAACGCUCCACAACGUCACGUUUAGUCCAACCAGGACUGGACGAAUCUGACAAGGAUUUUGAUUUAUUGCAGCUGCUGCCGUUAAACUUUACAUCAAUAUAUCGUCUCUGUCGCCGUGUUGCUUCUUGAAAGGAUGGAAACGUUUUCACGCUGCAGCAGGAAGAGGAUCCCAUCCUGACCUCUGAGAUGUGAUCACUGGCGGGCCUGCAGAAUGAAGACCGGAGCAGAACCUGUCUGACGACAUGAAGUAGGAAAAGCAGCACAUCCUCUGUUUUCUCUGAGAGCGGUGACCUCUAGAGCGAGGAGCGUUGGCGUGGUGAGGAAUGUCUGCCGGAACCCUGGGGCCUGGAAGGCCGACCCUGCAUGUACUGGCUUCCCUCACACACACACACACACACACACACACAGCUGCAUAUUUUUACUGCAGCUUUGCAUUAAUAGCGUCAUUAUUUAAUGGCAGCAGUCAUAAUCAUUCAUGAAGAAUAUUUCAUGUUCAUGUGAGUCUCAUGUUAACCCUUCAAAUAAAGUUACCAAAUAUUG